ensembl:lncRNA
UGUGUUGUUGUGAAAAGUGUGUUCGUGUGUAGUCUUAUUAUUUUGAUGUGUGUGAUUGUGCACAUGUGUGUGUGUGUGUGUGUGUGUGUGUGUGUGUGUGUGUGUGUGUGUGUGUGUGAUUCUGUAUCUAUUCACUGUUAUUUCUCUCAUCAGCAGGUUGAAGAACAGAAAGUGUGUAAAGGUCAUUUUCCAGAAACUGAAACCUCUCCAUUUGCUAAAAUAAGUUCAACACUUAAGUAGUGAAACACAGAAUAAGUUCAUGUGUUUCUUGUUUUCAGAAGCAGGGGAUUUACAGUCAUAUCUAAACUCAGUAUUUACUCUGUAAACAGUGUCAGUGUCGCCCCGCAGAGAUUACAUCUUCAAACCCUCUCUGAGAUCAGUUCAUCAGAAUAAACCCACGCUGAUUCAGACAGAAACUAGACGAGUCGCUGGGAGAGAAACAUGAACACAUGUAUGAUUUAUGCAGUAAUAAACUCCCACCUGGAGAAGCUGAAGCGUCACAUCCACAUGUAGAUCAUUCUGCCUGGAUCUGACCUGAUCAACUGAUGAUGUGAUGAUGAUCUUCUCAGGAAACACACACACUGAAGAAGAACAGAGAGCGUCACACACACGGGAAACAGCAGCAGAGAGGAAUCAUGUUUGAGAUCAAGCUGAGCGAUGAAGAGACGAAGACUGAGGAAGACGAGGAGUCAGAGGACGAGCCCCUGAACCACACACUGACGUUUGCACAAGGAGAAAAGCUACGCAACCAACCGCAGGGGUCAGAGGUCAGACAGGAAGUGGAGGAGGAAGUGGUGAAGAGAGCCGAGUGGCAUCGAGACGCAGCGGAGACGUUUCUGAACGCUCUGGAGAACAUGGAUGUGAUGACGGAGAGCAGCAUGAGUCUCGCUCAGACCGUUUCAGAGGAGCAGGAGAGAGGAAACAGGAAGCACUGGACGAAUCGUCUACCGGAGACUCUGCUGAACGCUCUCUCUCAAGCAGACAUCAUGGACUGCAGCACAGGCACACACACACACACACACACACACACACACACACACACACACACACGUGUUCAGAAGAGUCACAGCUUUGAAUCAGUGAUCAGUGUUUUUCAGUGUUUCAGUGAUCAGUGUCAGACUCUGAUCGAUGGGAGAGAGCUGUGUGUGUUGAACGUCGUGCUGUUUGUGUUUCACUCAGAGACGCUGGAGUCGUCAGAGGAGACGCGUCUCACAGAGGAAGAGUGUGAUGAAGAUGAAGAUGACGUGGAGGUGGAUGAAGAGCGUCUGGAGCCUCGAUCAGAUGAUGAAGACACGAACUUUGAGGAGUCUGAGGACGAGCUGCGGGACGAGGUGAGCGACUCCAUGAGGAACCUCCUCACCACACAGGAGCAGGACGAGGAUCGAGCGCCACAGGAAGUGAACAGCAGAUCAGAGGAAGUGAGGGAGGAGACGCAGCCACCCGCUCAUGACGAGUCUGCAGUGAACUGAUCCUGUGUUUCAUUCUUUUUGAGUUCUUUUUCUUUCUUUCUUUCAUUCUCUAUGAAUAUCUGUUAAAGUGUAAUGUAUUUCUGUGAUGCACAGCUGUAUUUUCAGCAUCAUUACUCCAGUCUUCAGUGUCACAUGAUCUUCAGAAAUCAUUCUAAUAUGAUGAUUUGCUGCUCAAGAAACAUUUCUGAUUAUUAUCAAUGUUGAACACAGUUGUGCUGCACAAUAUUUCUGUGGAAACUGUGAUACAUUUUAUUUUUCAGAAUUCACAGAUGAACAGAAAGUUCAGAAGAACAGCAUCUAUUUGAAAUAGAAAUAUUUUGUUACGUUUACUGGCACAUUUCAUCAGUUGAAUGCAGACUUGAUUAAUAAAAGUAUUAAUUUCUUUCCA